rnacentral:lncRNA from 7 species
AGCUAUCUGUUCACAAGGCCGUAGGAUAGGUGUAGCUUUUCAGAUAAUGGCGGAGCUUUGUCAGGAGUUAAUUCAGCCCUUACGCUGCUAAGCUUGCUCAGAUAAACUGUUGCACCUCUGGGUCUAUCCUGGGAAUUUGGAAAGGAAUGGAAACUUCAAAAGAGCAAUCAUACUAUGAGAGAAGUAAGCACGCCAAAUCAGAGGGCAGCUAUAGCAUUCAUAAUCUCUUUCCAUCACAGAGUCCUUUCUGUGGCCUGAGUUAUCUAGAAGUGACUCUUGAAAUACAGCAACAACCAAAGUUUAGGACAGUGGAGUAAACAGAGUAUCUUUCAAAAAUAUAGUAGCCUGAAGAAGAACUUGUCUAUCAGGCAGUGCCAUCCAGCCGAGGACAUGACCCUUAAUAGAAGUUUUCUGGCAUUUCCAGAGAAAUCUAGAAAAAUGUCCAACUCCAUCACCCCCAAAAUUAUUAUGGGUUGAAGCUGCAUAAAAGGGGAAUAAAUUGACAAAUAUAUGCUCCUGAAGCAUCUAUACUUUUUAUUGUAAAGUGGAUGUAUUUUUAUAUAUGGAAGGCUCAAUAUUGUAUAUUUGAAGUAAAUAUUUUUCUUAUUCUAACAGCAUCUUGUUUAAUGUCAUUAUACUAACAUUGCACCGUGUAGAACUGUGCUACUUCAAUGCUGCUCAUCACUGUUAGCCAAUUCAGUCCCAGUUAGAAUCUAGAACUGCUAUGAAAAUGCACUUUGCUCUUAAUGUGUUCAUGCCUAAUCAAGCAGGAUGAAAGAGUAAUCCCCAAGCUGUACCAGUUCAGAUUUAUGUGAGGCUUGACAAUAGAUAACCACCAAGAUAAAUCAAUCAAAAUAAAUCAAUUUAACUG